rfam:Schistosoma mansoni, Puerto Rico, WGS project CABG01000000 data, contig: 0141
GUACUCGCUUCGGCGGUACGUAUACUAAAAUUGUAACGAUACAGAGAAGAUCAGCAUGGCCCAUGCGCAAGUAUGACAAGCGAAAUCGUGAAGCGUUCUAUAAUUUU